CCCAGACUCCUACGGGAGGCAGCAGUGAGGAAUAUUGGUCAAUGGGCUUACGCCUGAACCAGCCAAGUCGCGUGAGGGAAGACUGCCCUAUGGGUUGUAAACCUCUUUUGUCAGGGAGCAACGCCAGCUACGUGUAGCCGGACUGAGAGUACCUGAAGAAAAAGCAUCGGCUAACUCCGUGCCAGCAGCCGCGGUAAUACGGAGGAUGCGAGCGUUAUCCGGAUUUAUUGGGUUUAAAGGGUGCGUAGGCGGAAUGCCAAGUCAGCGGUAAAAUCGCGGGGCUCAACUCCGGGACUGCUUUUGAAACUGUGUUGCUAGAUUGCAGGAGAGGUAAGUGGAAUUCCUAGUGUAGCGGUGAAAUGCGUAGAUAUUAGGAGGAACACCAGUGGCGAAGGCGGCUUACUGGACUGUAAAUGACGCUGAGGCUCGAAAGCGUGGGGAGCAAACAGGAUUAGAUACCCGAGUA
rnacentral:rRNA from 1 species